rnacentral:rRNA from 1 species
GACGAACGCUGGCGGCGUGCUUAACACAUGCAAGUCGAACGAAGUGGCGAACGGGUGAGUAACGCGUAAUCAACCUGCCCUUCAGAGGGGGACAACAGUUGGAACCGACUGCUAAUACCGCAUACUGAAGGAGGGGAUUGCGUCGGAUGAGCUAGUUGGAGGGGUAACGGCCCAACAAGGCGAAGAUCAGUAGCCGUGCUGAGAGGAUGAACGGCAAAGUUGGGACUGAGACACGGACCAGACUCCUACGGGAGGAAGCAGUGGGGAAUCUGCCGCAAGGGACGAAAGUCUGACGGAGCAACGCCGCGUGAGUGAUGACGGCCUUCGGGUUGUAAAGCUCUGUUAAUCGGGACGCGGUACCGGAAUAGAAAGCCACGGCUAACUACGGGCCAGCAGCCGCGGUAAUUC